rnacentral:rRNA from 1 species
GACGAACGCUGGCGGCGUGCUUAACACAUGCAAGUCGAACGGAAAGGCCCUGCUUGCAGGGUACUCGAGUGGCGAACGGGUGAGUAACACGUGGGUGAUCUGCCCUGCACUUCGGGAUAAGCCUGGGAAACUGGGUCUAAUACCGGAUAGGAGCCAUUUUUAGUGUGAUGGUUGGAAAGUUUUUUCGGUGUGGGAGGGGGUCGCGGCCUAUCGGCUUGUUGGUGGGGUAAUGGCUUACCAAGGCGGCGACGGGUAGCCGGCCUGAGAGGGGGGACGGCCACAUUGGAACUGGGAUACGACCCAGACUCCUACGGUAGGCAGCAGUGGAGAAUAUUGCACAAUGGGCGCAAGCCUGAUGCAGCGACGCCGCGUGGGGGAUGACGGCCUUCGGGUUGUAACCUCCUUUCGCUAGGGACGAAGCUUUUGUGACGGUACCUAGAGAAGAAGCACCGGCUAACUACGUG